AUGUUUUUGUGAUAAACUAUGCUCCGUUUGUGGCAGAUAUGUAGUCACAUAAUAUAAAAUCUGACAAAAAUCGUUUCGACUCUUUUUUUACAUCGGAACCAAGAAAAAUAAAGUAUUUAUUUAUUUAAAAUCCU